UACGGAGGUCCCGAGCGUUGCGCGAAUUUACUGGGCGUAAAGGGUGUGUAGGCGGUUUGGCAAGUGGGUGGUGAAAUUUCAUGGCUCAACCGUGAAACUGCCUUUGAAACUGCCAAACUUGAGGCAGGGAGAGGUAGGCGGAAUUCUCGGUGUAGCGGUGAAAUGCGUAGAUAUCGAGAGGAACACCAGUGGCGAAGGCGGCCGACGGGAACGGUCCUGACGCUGAUGGACGAAAGCUAGGGGAGCAAACCGG
rnacentral:rRNA from 1 species